GGGGGUGUAGCUCAACUGGGAGAGCACUAGCUUUGCAAGCUAGGGGUUAGGGGUUCGACCCCCCUCACCUCCA
rnacentral:tRNA from 1 species